UACAGAGGUCUCAAGCGUUGUUCGGAUUCAUUGGGCGUAAAGGGUGUGUAGGUGGCGCGCUAAGUCGGGUGUGAAAUUUCGGAGCUUAACUCCGAAACUGCAUUCGAUACUGGCGUGCUUGAGGACUGGAGAGGAGACUGGAAUUCAUGGUGUAGCAGUGAAAUGCGUAGAGAUCAUGAGGAAGACCAGUGGCGAAGGCGGGUCUCUGGACAGUUCCUGACACUGAGACGCGACAGCGUGGGGAGCAAACAGG
rnacentral:rRNA from 1 species